rnacentral:misc_RNA from 1 species
CAAAUAUGAAGGCGGGCUGGAACCUCUCGGGGUUACAGCCUUGCUGAAUUAUUCACCCUUGUCUUUUGCGUACUUCUUGUUUCCUUGGUGGGUUCGCCCACCACUAGGACAAACAUAAACCUUUUGUAAUUGCAAUCAGCGUCAGUAACAAAUUAAUAAUUACAACUUUCAACAACGGAUCUCUUGGUUCU